UUUUCCCUUAAUUUCUAUUGUAAUUUUCUUUCUGUAAAUUGUGACUGUGACUUCUUUCCUUUCACAGUGCACCUAUGUGGAGCAUCUGUUUGCAUUUUCUGUAACUGCCCUCAAGGCAAGUAGAUACCCUCCCAGACUUCAGACCCAGUUUCCUCAGCUUUUACGAGCACGUCAAGUACUCCAGCCAUCUCCAAAUCAUGGUUUCCCUCCUCUGCAGCUUCUAAGUGUCUCUUUUGCAUCAGUAAACCCAAACCUGGAGUACGGACAAACCUGCACUAGGACUGAGCAGGGGGGGAUUAUCUCCUCCCUGGAGCUGCUGACCUCGCUCUGGUUCCUGCAGCUGUCUGCAGUGAGCCUUCCUCCCUGCAGGGAGCUCGGCUGCCUCAUAGGGUGUUGUCUGCCACAACCCACAGGGCUGCUAGGGUUAAACUCACAGACAGACCAGAUGAAACCCAGGAAAAACAGUGUCCCUUACAGUUCAUUUAGAAGUCCCAACAGAAUUGGAGCAAUAAUCAUGACAAAGAACAUCAUGUGAAGAAACCUUCUAGAGCAUCAGUCUGGAUACACUGUAGGAUACUGUUUUCACCAGCACUGAGGCAUGUUAAAUCCCACUGAAUCCAGAGGAUUCUAAAAGCUGUCAUUAGUGGGCGUUCAAAUGAAAGGCAUUUGAUGCAAAAACAGGAUGAUGCAAAAGUAAUAACAACCUUUGCUUUUGGAAUUUAAUUAAUCUAAUUAAUGGUUUUUAAAACAUUCUGUAUAUUGUGAGAUGGCAAGUUAAAUAUAAUGAAAAUUGGUGGGGCUCACCACUAGUAACUUCCAUAAACUUGUGAGAGAAAGCUAUGCUCCUUAAAGGACAGCUGAAACAAAGGUGGAUUCCAGCCAAACCCAAAGGAACCUUCUACAGUCCAAAAAAGAAAGUCCUCCUAACAUCACUUGAGAAUUUUAAUGGUAGAGACAGUUAUUUUUCAUUUGGUAUGGCACCAUUAAAGCUCUGCAUACAUACAGAGACUGCUGUCUCCCUCCCUGAGAGAAGAAAAAUAUUGUGAGAACACAGAGAAUGAGAAACAGUAAAGUAAUAAGAUUAAGAAUUUAUAGAUCUAAAUAAUCUGGGUUAGAUUACUACUAUGAUUAGUGAUUGGAAAAAAUCACUUUGUGAAUAUUUUCUAUUCUCAGGCACCAAAUUUUAGUUAAGUGCUCUGCUUUAAAGAAAGGACUGUAUUAUAUAUAUCUCAAGAAUGCUCUUCCUCCUUUAUGUAGUCAAUUAAAACUAGUAUUUUUUUUUGUUGUUAAUGGCUGCUAUAAUUUGCUUUAUACAUAAUCUGACAUAGCGUGCUCACAAGUCUGCAUUUCAGCUUGAGGUAUCUUCAUCACAUUUCACAGUGAUGGAAGUAAUUUGUUCAUCUGAAAAGCUAAGACUCUGCUGAAGCUCAAACUGUUUGCAAUGAAAGAGAAAGACAUGGCAGGAAAUGGAUCCAGUCUCUGACUACUGCAUGGAAGGAAUGAGCUGUAUGUAUCUGGCUUAAUUGUUGAAGGGUGAUACAAUCAAAAUAAUCAUACUUAAUUAUGAAGGAUAAGACAGUGUUAUCAACUAAGUUGUUCAAAGAAACACCUAAACUACACAUAGAAAUCAACCAAUUUUCACAGAAAUAAUUACAGUUGGGUCUUGCCUGCUCUUUAGCCCCAAACAAAGCCAAGUAUAUUUUUGCAUUGCCUUUAAGUAAACGAAGAGGCAAAUUGUGGCUCAAAGAGACAAUGAAUCUCCUGGCUUUCCCUUUCAGUGCCUGAGUUCUUACGUGCUGGUGCAACUAGGUCAUACAGUGCAAGAUUCCCUAUCGUGGUUAUUCUUUUUAUUUGCCUCUUACAGCUCCCCUGGGUGUUAGCAAUAAAGGAAAGUUUUAUUCCUUUUUUCUCCCUCCU
ensembl:lncRNA